rnacentral:misc_RNA from 1 species
GAUGAAGAACGCAGCGAAAUGCGAUAAGUAGUGUGAAUUGCAGAAUUCAGUGAAUCAUCGAAUCUUUGAACGCACAUUGCGCCCCUUGGUAUUACAUGGGGCAUGCCUGUUCGAGCGUCAUUUGUACCUUCAAGCUCUGCUUGGUGUUGGGUGUUUGUCCUUGCUCUAGUGGCGGGACUCGCCUUAAAGUAAUUGGCAGCCAGUGUUUUGGUUUUGAAGCGCAGCACAAGUCGCGAUUCAAGUCUAUACGCUAGUUUCCACAAGUCUUUUAUCACUUUUGACCUCGGAUCAGGUAGGGAUACCCGCUGAACUUAAGCAUAUCAAUAAGCGGAGGA